rnacentral:rRNA from 1 species
CCUACGGGAGGCUGCAGUGGGGGAUAUUGCACAAUGGAGGGAACUCUGAUGCAGCGACGCCGCGUGAGUGAAGGAGUGAUUCGUUAUGUAAAGCUCUAUCAGCAGGGAAGAAAGUGACGGUACCUGAAAAAGAAGCUCCGGCUAAAUACGUGCCAGCAGCCGCGGUAAUACGUAUGGUGCAAGCGUUAUCCGGAUUUACUGGGUGUAAAGGGAGAGGAGGUGGCAGAGCAAGUCAGAAGUGAAAACCCCAGGCGCAACCAUGGGAAUGCUUUAGAAACUGCACAGCUAGAGUGCAGGAGAGGCAAGUGGAAUUCUUAGUGGAGCGGUGAAAUGCGUAGAUAUUAGGAGGAACACCAGUGGCGAAGGCGGCUUGCUGGACUGUAACUGACACUGAGGCUCGAAAGCGUGGGGAGCAAACAGGAUUAGAUACCCCUGUAGUC